rnacentral:rRNA from 1 species
ACUCCUACGGGAGGCAGCAGUGGGGAAUAUUGCACAAUGGGGGAAACCCUGAUGCAGCCAUGCCGCGUGUGUGAAGAAGGCCAUCGGGGUUGUAAAGCACUUUCAGUAGGGAGGAAGGUAGUGUAGUUAACACCUGCAUUAUUUGACGUUACCUACAGAAGAAGCACCGGCUAACUCCGUGCCAGCAGCCGCGGUAAGUACGGAGGGUGCGAGCGUUAAUCGGAAUUACGUGGGCGUAAAGCGCAUGCAGGCGGCCUGUUAAGUCAGAUGUGAAAGCCCGGGGUCUUAACCUCGGAAUUGCAUUUGAAACUGGCAGGCUAGAGUCUUGUAGAGGGGUUAGAAUUUCAGGUGUAGCGGUGAAAUGCGUAGAGAUCUGAAGGAAUACCGAGUGGCGAAGGCGGCCCCGUGGACAAAGACUGACGCUCAGAUGCGAAAGCGUGGGAGCAAACGAGGAUUAGAUACCCCGUGGUAGACUGUCA